AUACAUAGGUCAAAGAGUUCGUUUGGGUUUUUCUGUGAUCUGAAAACGAAAAACCCAAACGAACUUUUGGCUGACUCAAU
rnacentral:miRNA from 1 species